UGAAUAAAGGAGUUACUCGUGUUUUUAUUAUAUAAAAUAAAUUAUAAAAUAACAGAUAUGGAAAUAAAUAAAUAUUUAGAAAGCUGAUAUAAACAAUCUUACCUUUUGCAUCAGGGUGAUGGGAAUAACACUGUUAUUGAAAAAUCCCGAAUAAAGGAGAUCUUUUUAGAUUAAUCUUUUAACGUUUUAUUGUUAUUGUAAAAUUCUAUAAAGAGACGAUAUGUCACUCAAUCCUUUGGAUAUCUGGUUUCUUUAGAAAACUAUUGUUAAACAUAAUUAUUAAAACUGUUUGGGGAUAAGCUCAAACAAUUAGGCUAUUAUUUUGUUUAAAUUUAAUAAUAAAAAUAUUAUUUAUUUUAAUUUAUUACUUAAAUUCCUUGAUUUCUAGACAUUUUAAACAUUAAAUUAUUACAAAUGAUAAUCCUUCAAUUAGUAUUUUAAUAGUCUUUUUUAAAGGAACUCGGCAACUAACCAGUUGGACUGUUUAUUAAAAACAUUUCCCAAAGAAAAUAUUUUAGGUAGGACCUGCUCAAUGCUUUAAGAGUAAAUAGCUGCAGUAUUACUACUGUACGAAGGUAGCGUAAUCAUUAGUCUUUUAAUUAGAGAAUUGUAUGAAUGGUAGAACCAGAUUGGAUCUGUCUCUAAAAGAAUCCAAGAAUUUGGAAUCUGAGUUAAAAUCCUCAGAUAAUUUGGUGGGACGAGAAGACCCUGUAGAUUUUUAUUUCUGAUUUACACUAAGGUGUUUACAUGAAAUUUACCUGGGAAGGGGUAGUAAAACAUCUUUUAAAGAAUUAAUAAAGACUAAACAAGUCAAAUAUUUGAUCCCUAAUAUUAUUAGGAUAAUAGGAAAAAAUACCUCAGGGCUAACAGCACAAUCCAAGUUCUUUGAUCUCAAGGGAUACUUUGGGUUUGUGACCUCGAUGUUGAAUUGAGAUUUGUUUCAGGGAGAAGAAAAUCUGAAUCUCAGUCUGUUCGACUGUUAAAAUCUCACAUGAUUUGAGUUUAGACCGACGUGAGUCAGGUCAGAUUCUAUCUACCAAUAUAGAAAUUCUUUCUAAGUACGAAAGGACAAGAACGAAAAUCUUUUGAUUU
rnacentral:rRNA from 1 species